GCUGGUGUGGCCUAGGAGUUUGAGUGUUGGACUAGGACUCUGGGGACCCGGGUUCGAAUCCCGGCUGGGCG